UCUCCUGUAGUGUCUACUUUUUAUCCCAUUCUUGUUUACAACCCUGCUUUGGAUCUCAUGUUAGCAUUCUGGAGAUGUAUGCUUUCAUCUGUGUUACAUGUCUCUGCAAGAGAAGACUAGCUGUGUAUCAUGGAAAACAUGUGGCUGCUUUGUCUAAGAUUCCAGCUAUUACUAAUUUAAUUGUUGGCCAUUAGCAACCAGGUAUUGCGAUGAUGGAAUUUGGUUUUGUACCAUCAUCAUUAUGAGCUUAAUAAUUAAAUCUCACACGUUUAAAGAGGCUGUGGAAAAUCUUACUCCAGGGAAUAGGUCAAAACAAGGCAAUUCUUUAAUCAUGAUACAGGAUCGUUCUCAGGCCCUGAGCCUGACAACCCUACAAGAGACCCUUUCCUUCUCUUCCUGAUCUUUCCUCUGCUUACUGUUUGCUAUUCUCAUGGCCAAUUCACACGAUCAUUUCAGCACAAGGCCUAAGACAUUUUAUGAUGCCUGAAGCAGAGCAUCAAAUGAUGACCCCCACUAAUAUGAGGCCCAAUACUUUAAGAAGUCUUUCUGCAUGAUUCACACAUCAGUUUGUCUUCAUCUACCUCCCACCAAGUUUCCACUACCUGCAGCUGCCUGCUUCACCUUGAUGCACAGUAGAAGUAGCCUGCAGCCAGCUGCAGCAGAGGUCUAACACAUAUGAUUUGCCAACCAUGGCAGCCCACAAGUAGGCCAGAUCUACAUUAUGCAUUU